rnacentral:rRNA from 1 species
CGGGACUUACUUAGCUUGCUUUGUAAGUUUAGUGGCGGACGGGUGAGUAACACGUGAGCAACCUGCCCAGAAGAAAGGGAUAGCUCGAGGAAACUCGAAUUAAUACCAUAUGUGAUCCUGUGAAGCAUUUCGCAGGAAUGAAAGAUGCCUUCGGGUGUCACUUCUGGAUGGGCUCGCGGCCUAUCAGUUAGUUGGUGAGGUAACGGCUCACCAAGGCAAUGACGGGUAGCUGGUCUGAGAGGACGACCAGUCACACUGGAACUGAGACACGGUCCAGACACCUACGGGUGGCAGCAGUCGAGAAUCAUUCGCAAUGGGGGAAACCCUGACGGUGCGACGCCGCGUGGAGGAUGACGGUCUUCGGAUUGUAAACUCCUGUCAUCGAAGAGUAAGGCUUAUGUAUUAAUAGUAUGUAAGAUUGAUAGUAUUCGAAGAGGAAGGGACGGCUAACUUCGUGCCAGCAGCCGCGGUAAUACGAAGGUCCCAAGCGUUGUUCGGAAUCACUGGGCGUAAAGGGAGCGUAGGCGGUGAGGUAAGUCAGAUGUGAAAUUCCAGGGCUCAACCCUGGAACUGCAUCCGAUACUGCCUUACUAGAGUAGUGGAGGGGCAUCUGGAAUUCACGGUGUAGCAGUGAAAUGCGUAGAGAUCGUGAGGAACACUAGUGGCGAAGGCGAGAUGCUGGACACUUACUGACGCUGAGGCUCGAAGGCCAGGGUAGCGAAAGGGAUUAGAUACCCCUGUAGUCCUGGCAGUAAACGGUGCACGUUUGGUGUGAGAAGGNUCGACCCUUUUCGUGCCGGAG